AUGCAUUUUACGCACUACACACCCAAUACCAUCCGAUCCUCUUGUGAUGUCACUGGGAGCACCUUGCAGAUCUACUCCAUGCAAAUUCUUGAACUGAAAAAAGGAUUGAACUGGCCACUAAAACUGUACGGAGUGGUCGCUGCUCGAGACAGCGUGGAUCGCAACCGCAACAUUGUCUCCUCUCGGUCAAGUCUUAACUCUCAAGAAACUCAAUGA
rnacentral:rRNA from 1 species